GGUUAAGCGACUAAGCGUACACGGUGGAUGCCCUGGCAGUCAGAGGCGAUGAAGGACGUGCUAAUCUGCGAUAAGCGCCGGUAAGGUGAUAUGAACCGUUAUAACCGGCGAUUUCCGAAUGGGGAAACCCAGUGUGACUCGUCACACUAUCAUUAACUGAAUCCAUAGGUUAAUGAGGCGAACCGGGGGAACUGAAACAUCUAAGUACCCCGAGGAAAAGAAAUCAACCGAGAUUCCCCCAGUAGCGGCGAGCGAACGGGGAGGAGCCCAGAGCCUGAAUCAGCAUGUGUGUUAGUGGAAGCGUCUGGAAAGGCGCGCGAUACAGGGUGACAGCCCCGUACACAAAAGCGCACAUGCUGUGAGCUCGAUGAGUAGGGCGGGACACGUGGUAUCCUGUCUGAAUAUGGGGGGACCAUCCUCCAAGGCUAAAUACUCCUGACUGACCGAUAGUGAACCAGUACCGUGAGGGAAAGGCGAAAAGAACCCCGGCGAGGGGAGUGAAAAAGAACCUGAAACCGUGUACGUACAAGCAGUGGGAGCCCCACCACUAAGCCAGUGGUGAACUCCACAUACGCAUCCUUUGCUGAGGAUACGGUUAACGGAGCGCAAGCGACGUUCAACCGCAAAAGAAGCAGAGGGGGCUUAGUGGUGG
rnacentral:rRNA from 1 species